rnacentral:rRNA from 1 species
GACGAACCGUACGAACGUUAUUCGGAUUUAUUGGGCGUAAAGCGUCCGUAGGUGGCAAACCAAGUCAGUUGUUAAAGCGUAGAGCUUAACUCUAUAAGGGCAAUUGAAACUGGUUAGCUAGAGUGCGAUAGGGGCAAGGGGAAUUCCCAGUGUAGCGGUGAAAUGCGUAGAUAUUGGGAAGAACAUCGGUGGCGAAGGCGCCUUGCUGGGUCUGCACUGACACUGAGGGACGAAAGCUAGGGGAGCGAAAGGG